GAUUAACUAUGUUACUAUUUCAUCUAUCAUUAUUAUACAAACUAUAACAAAUGUAAAGAUUUUUCCACAGAUUUUACCUGUUAACAUUUUUAGCACAACAGCACCUGAUGUCAGUGAGAUGUCUAUCACUGAGAUGUUACAAAGAUUCCAAUACAGCAAAAAGAGGUGUUCCUGAGAAUCCACUUCGAUUGCUGUAUCAACAUAACAUUUACUAUGGGAUCCAUGUCACUUAAGACAAUGUCUUGGAAAUUAUGUCAAUUAAUUAAUACCGUAAAAGAAUAUCGGAGAGUAUCCAAUCUAUACACAUCAUAAACUGUG